GAAGCGCCUGGAAGAAGCCCCCUUGAUGACCAAGGCCUUCAGGGAGGCGCAGAUAAAGGAGAAGCUGGAGCGGUGGCUCUGAGGGUCCUGUUCCCCGACCGCUACGUCCUACAGGGCUUCUUUCGCCCCAGCGAGACAGUGGGGGACUUGCGAGACUUCGUGAGGAGCCACCUGGGGAACCCCGAGCUGUCGUUUUACCUGUUCAUCACCCCUCCAAAAACAGUCCUGGACGACCACACGCGGACCCUCUUUCAGGUGAACCUCUUCCCGACUGCUCUGGUGCACUUUGGAGCCGAGGAGCCGGCAGGUGAGUGUCGGUGGUUGGGGCCAGUGUUGGAGUCCAGCCAGCCUGUCCCUGGACCUCAGAGCCAGCUGCCCCGGAGGGCGUUCGGUCUGAGAGGGAGAUGUGUGGUGCCCAGUAGCCACCUCCCCGAGAGAGGACUGGGACAGCCACCUGCUGACCACCCCCCUCCCAGAGCUGAGUGCUGGUGGGCAGGUGCUGGGUGGAUGGUGAGUGGGCCCCUCCUCAGAGGCUGAGGGUGAGCUUGGGCCUCCCUGCAGGUGUCUACCUGGAGCCUGGCCUGCUGGAGCAUGCCAUCUCCCCAUCUGCGGCCGACGUGCUGGUGGCCAGGUAAGUGCCGGUGGGUCUGGGGGCACCUCCCGUGGCGGCACUCACCACUCUGUGUCUUCGCCUCCCCACAGGUACAUGUCCAGGGCUGCCAGGUCCCCUUCCCCAUUGCCAGCCCCUGACCCUGCACCUGAGUCUGAGCCAGCUGCUGAGGACGGGGCGCUGGUCCCCCCAGAGCCCAUCCCAGGGACGGCCCAGCCCGUGAAGAGGAGCCUGGGCAAGGUGCCCAAGUGGCUGAAGCUGCCUGGUACUGCCAGCAAGAGGUGAGAGCUGCCAGCCCGAGGUGCCCACUCUGCCAGCCACAGGACCACCUC
rnacentral:sRNA from 1 species